GAUGAACGCUGGCGGCGCGCCUAACACAUGCAAGUCGAACGGCACCCCUCCUCGGAGGGCAGCGAGUGGCGAACGGCUGAGUAACACGUGGAGAACCUGCCCCCUCCCCCGGGAUAGCCGCCCGAAAGGACGGGUAAUACCGGAUACCCCGGGGUGCCGCAUGGCACCCCGGCUAAAGCCCCGACGGGAGGGGAUGGCUCCGCGGCCCAUCAGGUAGACGGCGGGGUGACGGCCCACCGUGCCGACAACGGGUAGCCGGGUUGAGAGACCGACCGGCCAGAUUGGGACUGAGACACGGCCCAGACUCCUACGGGAGGCAGCAGUGGGGAAUCUUGCGCAAUGGGGGGAACCCGGACGCAGCGACGCCGCGUGCGGGACGGAGGCCUUCGGGUCGUAAACCGCUUUCAGCAGGGAAGAGUCAAGACUGUACCUGCAGAAGAAGCCCCGGCUAACUACGUG
rnacentral:rRNA from 1 species